AUAACAAAGUUAAAAUAAAAAACAAAUACACUAUCCUCCCUACAUCUUGCACGUUUCUGCCCUUUACACAUUAUUCUCUAAAAAAAUCCCACCUUUCAAGUUCCCAUAUUUUCUUCAUUCUUCAAAUAAAAGUUGUUCAAAAUUUGAUUCUUCAAAAAAAUUUAUGCAUUAUGUCCAGAAUUUUGUUGGUCGAUUAGCUAUGAGGUAUACAUUAUUUCAUCAAAUUCUGAAUUCGAUUAAGUUUCAAUGUCGAAGUUAUCGUCUUCAUCGCUAUUUCUUCUUCAACUCAAAUGUGAUAUGUCAAUGUGGGGACGUUGUGGAAAUUAAGAACUCAUGGACGCAAUCAAACCUUGGACAUAGGUCCCUUUGUUGCAAAACUUCGUAGGCACGAUGUGGAUCUAGAUAUUUUCGAUGGUAUGAUGAUGAAAUGCUAGCUCAAACUAGGAGGGUGAUAUGGGGCUUAUUGAAAAGAGUCAAAACAUAUGAAUUUGAUAGCUAUCGAUCAAUAAAAGUAUGGAUGAUAUGCAUUGUCGUAGGGAUGAUAUUGACUACUUGGAUUUGUGCAACAAAAUGAUCUUAAUGUCAAAUCCUACAGUCUUGGUCCUCUUUUAACGAACUGCUGAUAUCGGAUCUUCUACAACCCUUGGUUGAUCUGGUUGCUGACUUGAUACACCUCCAAUGCCUCUACCAGUGGCUCUUCCACUUCCUCUGUGGUUGACUUGAUCUUGAUGGUCUACUAAAAAGUGGUGGCUGGCUUGAGCUUGAUGUUUGUCUAAACAAUGGUGGCUGGCGUGAGCUUGAUACUUAGCUAAACAUUGGUGGGUGGCUUUAUCUUGGU